AUGCUUUGGCAGCACAUAUACUAAAACUGGAAUGAUACAGAGAAGCUUAGCAUGAUCCUGGACAAAGAUGACACACACAUGACACAAAGUAUCUACACGCCC